AUUCUUGUAACGGAAUUGGUAGACGUGUUAGUUUUAGGCACUAAAAUUUGCGGGUUCAAGUCCCGUCAAGAAUA
rnacentral:tRNA from 1 species